ACUUCUGGAGAAAAAGUUCGGCUGCUGCUCAGCAACGCCGAGCGCGGCCCCGCGACGCCCGCCCCGUGGCUGUCUCCUCCCCCUGCUGUGUCCUCCGCGCCCGCCAGGUGCCCGCCCGGGCGGGAGUGCGGGGGGCGGGCCCCGGCUCAGUUCUUCUGAUUAUAACCAGAAGAAGGUGUUCUGACCCUAAACUAUUUAACAAAGAGCAGGCCCCAAGCUCAAAGCCCUAUUAACCAGCACAAUGUCAGAUAUGUUACACACUGGCUCAGUACACUCUGUUCAACUAUAGAGAAUAGAAAGUGUCAGCAGAGGAGAGAGGAAAGAAGGAAAGAUAAAAAGAAGAAUGUGGAAGAAGUCUGGGUGAAGAUGAUUUAAUCUCUGUUAAGAGAACCCUAGUAGAAUAUUCUGAAUUCUAUCACUUCACAAUGUUUGUCAUAUUUGUGCAUCACCUUUAUUACUUAGUAUUUUUAUUUACAUUAAC